ACUAGACUCCAGUGCCAGCCGCACGCCAAGGCACGAAUGUACAUAAAUGUUGAACUGUUGUUUGUUCUAACCCUGUUUUCUCCCCUAACCCCUGCCCAGGUGGGUAGCCGAAGCCGCUUCUUAAUCUCAUUCCGGUGCAACCGACCAAACAAGAGACGAAAGAGACAGAAUACUCGGGGAAGGACACCCUGCUUGACAAAGCUGGGAAGUGUGAGCCCCCCAACUGAC